UGGGGAAUCUUGGACAAUGGGGGCAACCCUGAUCCAGCCAUGCCGCGUGAGUGAUGAAGGCCUUAGGGUCGUAAAGCUCUUUCGCCUGUGAAGAUAAUGACGGUAGCAGGUAAAGAAACCCCGGCUAACUCCGUGCCAGCAGCCGCGGUAAUACGGAGGGGGUUAGCGUUGUUCGGAAUUACUGGGCGUAAAGCGCACGUAGGCGGACCAGAAAGUUGGGGGUGAAAUCCCGGGGGCUCAACCCCGGAACUGCCUCCAAAACUAUUGGUCUAGAGUUCGAGAGAGGUGAGUGGAAUUCCAAGUGUAGAGGUGAAAUUCGUAGAUAUUUGGAGGAACACCAGUGGCGAAGGCGGCUCACUGGCUCGAUACUGACGCUGAGGUGCGAAAGUGUGGGGAGCAAACAGGAUUAGAUACCCUGGUAGUCCACACCGUAAAACGAUGAAUGCCAGUCGUCGGGUAGCAUGCUAUUCGGUGACACACCUAACGGAUUAAGCAUCCGUCCU
rnacentral:rRNA from 1 species